rfam:Candidatus Portnoybacteria bacterium RIFCSPHIGHO2_12_FTLL_38_9 rifcsphigho2_02_scaffold_3617, whole genome shotgun sequence.
GCGGGAUUAGUUGAGUGGUUCAAUGCAACCUUCCCAAGGUUGAGACGCGGGUUCAAUUCCCGUAUCCCGCU